CUAACUGGAGGACCGAACCGACUAAUGUUGAAAAAUUAGCGGAUGACUUGUGGCUGGGGGUGAAAGGCCAAUCAAACCGGGAGAUAGCUGGUUCUCCCCGAAAGCUAUUUAGGUAGCGCCUCGUGAAUUCAUCUUCGGGGGUAGAGCACUGUUUCGGCUAGGGGGUCAUCCCGACUUACCAACCCGAUGCAAACUACGAAUACCGAAGAAUGUUAUCACGGGAGACACACGGCGGGUGCUAACGUCCGUCGUGAAGAGGGAAACAACCCAGACCGCCAGCUAAGGUCCCAAAGUCAUGGUUAAGUGGGAAACGAUGUGGGAAGGCACAGACAGCCAGGAUGUUGGCUUAGAAGCAGCCAUCAUUUAAAGAAAGCGUAAUAGCUCACUGGUCGAGUCGGCCUGCGCGGAAGAUGUAACGGGGCUAAACCAUGCACCGAAGCUGCGGCAGCGACACUAUGUGUUGUUGGGUAGGGGAGCGUUCUGUAAGCCUGCGAAGGUGACCUGUGAGGGUUGCUGGAGGUAUCAGAAGUGCGAAUGCUGACAUAAGUAACGAUAAAGCGGGUGAAAAGCCCGCUCGCCGGAAGACCAAGGGUUCCUGUCCAACGUUAAUCGGGGCAGGGUGAGUCGACCCCUAAGGCGAGGCCGAAAGGCGUAGUCGAUGGGAAACAGGUUAAUAUUCCUGUACUUGGUGUUACUGCGAAGGGGGGACGGAGAAGGCUAUGUUAGCCGGGCGACGGUUGUCCCGGUUUAAGCAUGUAGGCUGGUUAUCCAGGCAAAUCCGGAUAAUCAAGGCUGAGGUGUGAUGACGAGGCACUACGGUGCUGAAGUAACAAAUGCCCUGCUUCCAGGAAAAGCCUCUAAGCAUCAGGUAACAUCAAAUCGUACCCCAAACCGACACAGGUGGUCAGGUAGAGAAUACCAAGGCGCUUGAGAGAACUCGGGUGAAGGAACUAGGCAAAAUGGUGCCGUAACUUCGGGAGAAGGCACGCUGGUGUGUAGGUGAAGCCCCUGCGGGUGGAGCUGAGACCAGUCGAAGAUACCAGCUGGCUGCAACUGUUUAUUAAAAACACAGCACUGUGCAAACACGAAAGUGGACGUAUACGGUGUGACGCCUGCCCGGUGCCGGAAGGUUAAUUGAUGGGGUUAUCCGUAAGGAGAAGCUCUUGAUCGAAGCCCCGGUAAACGGCGGCCGUAACUAUAACGGUCCUAAGGUAGCGAAAUUCCUUGUCGGGUAAGUUCCGACCUGCACGAAUGGCGUAAUGAUGGCCAGGCUGUCUCCACCCGAGACUCAGUGAAAUUGAACUCGCUGUGAAGAUGCAGUGUACCCGCGGCAAGACGGAAAGACCCCGUGAACCUUUACUAUAGCUUGACACUGAACAUUGAGCCUUGAUGUGUAGGAUAGGUGGGAGGCUUUGAAGCGUGGACGCCAGUCUGCGUGGAGCCAACCUUGAAAUACCACCCUUUAAUGUUUGAUGUUCUAACGUUGGCCCCU
rnacentral:rRNA from 1 species